rnacentral:lncRNA from 1 species
UUUGGCUACUUUGACCCCUGUGCACUACGAACCAAAUUUCUCUCUGUACAAAAUUCAAAUAACCAUGCCGUUUGUUUCUAUUAAAAAUAGACCCAAUGAGGAAUCCAUACAUAUACAGUAUGACUCAUAAUUAUUUUUUUAAAAUUUUUAAUGAUUUUCUAAAAUCAGAACAGGGGAACUCAAAGUCAUUCAGACUCUGUCUCACCAUAAUUUAAAUAUCUCAUAACAUAAAAUCCAAUUGCAUGCAUCGUUUCCUCUAUAUG